rnacentral:rRNA from 1 species
AGCGACGCCGCGUGGAGGAUGAAGGUCUUCGGAUUGUAAACUCCUGUCAUUGGUGAACAAGGCCAUCGGUUAACUGCCGUUUGGUUUGAUAGUAGCCGAAAGAGGAAGAGACGGCUAACUCUGUGCCAGCAGCCGCGGUAAUACAGAGGUCUCAAGCGUUGUUCGGAUUCAUUGGGCGUAAAGGGUGCGUAGGCGGCGAGGCAAGUCUGGUGUGAAAUCCCGGGGCUCAACCCCGGAACUGCACUGGAUACUGCUUUGCUAGAGUACUGGAGAGGGAACUGGAAUUUACGGUGUAGCAGUGAAAUGCGUAGAUAUCGUAAGGAAGACCAGCGGCGAAGGCGAGUUCCUGGACAGUUACUGACGCUGAGGCACGAAGGCCAGGGGAGCAAACGGGAUUAGAUACCCCGGUAGUCCUGGCAGUAAACGGUGUGCGUUUGGUGUGGGAGGAUUCGACCCCUUCCGUGCCGGAGCUAACGCGUUAAACGCACCGCCUGGGGAGUACGGUCGCAAGAUUA